rnacentral:rRNA from 1 species
AGAGUUUGAUCCUGGCUCAGGAUGAACGCUGGCGGCGUGCUUAAUACAUGUAAGUCGAACGAGGAGUUUUGCUUCGGUAAAUCUCCGAGUGGCGAACGGGUGAGUAACGCGUUGGUGACCUGCCCCGAAGAGGGGGAUAACGGCUCGAAAGGGCUGCUAAUACCCCAUGUGGUCGUAGAGGUUAGAGGCUUUACGUCUAAAGGAGCAAUCCACUUCGGGAUGGGCCUGCGUCCCAUCAGCUAGUUGGUAGGGUAAUGGCCUACCAAGGCGACGACGGGUAGGGGGCCUCAGAGGGUGACCCCCCACACUGGCACUGAAACACGGGCCAGACACCUACGGGUGGCAGCAGUAGGGAAUAUUGCACAAUGAGCGAAAGCUUGAUGCAGCAACGCCGCGUGCGCGAUGACGGCCUUCGGGUUGUAAAGCGCUUUUCGGGGAGAUGAGGAAGGACAGUAUCCCCGGAAUAAGUCUCGGCUAACUACGUGCCAGCAGCCGCGGUAAGUACGUGCCAGCAGCCGCGGUAA